UACGAAGGGGGCUAGCGUUGUUCGGAAUCACUGGGCGUAAAGGGCGCGUAGGCGGCUUGAUAAGUCGGGGGUGAAAGCCUGUGGCUCAACCACAGAAUUGCCUUCGAUACUGUAUGGCUCGAGACCGGAAGAGGUAAGUGGAACUGCGAGUGUAGAGGUGAAAUUCGUAGAUAUUCGCAAGAACACCAGUGGCGAAGGCGGCUCACUGGCCCGAUACUGACGCUGAGGCACGAAAGCGUGGGGAGCAAACAGGG
rnacentral:rRNA from 1 species